CUUGAAUAUCCUAGUUCAGAUAUAACUCCUACCCUCCAGGCCUUGCUGUUAUAUUUUAAUAUGCUAAUUUUGGCACUACUGGUUUUGAAAUUAAUUAGCAAGUAUUACCUUCACCAUACUAAGGUAAAUAUAAUUUGCAUUGUGGAUACUAGUCCAUUGUGCUACAUAUAACAAAACUGGGCGUGUGUUUAGGCCAAAUCCUAAGUCAAGCUUCACAGUAGAGUUGUGGAUAUUGUGUUCCCCACCCAUUGUGUUUAGCAUACAAAGGUAAUUGAGUUUUGGUUUUUGUUUUCUCUAUUUACACCUGGCCUACUGAAUAGACAUCAACUAUUGUUGGCUAUUCAGAA